UAGGGAAUAUUAGAAAUGGACGAAAGUCUGAUCUAGCAACACCGCGUGUGCGAAGAAGGCCUUCGGGUCGUAAAGCCCUGUCAGGUGGGAAGAAUGUCCCGGAACUGAACAGGUUUCGGGAGUGACGGUACCACCAGAGGAAGCACCGGCUAACUCCGUGCCAGCAGCCGCGGUAAUACGGAGGGUGCAAGCGUUAUUCGGAAUUACUGGGCGUAAAGCGCGUGUAGGCGGUCCUGCAAGUCUGAUGUGAAAGCCCCGGGCUUAACCCGGGAAGUGCAUUGGAAACUGCAGGUCUUGAGUACUGGAGAGGAUGGGGGAAUUCCCGGUGUAGAGGUGAAAUUCGUAGAGAUCGGGAGGAACACCAGCGGCGCAGGCGGCUCACUAGACAGUCUCUGACGCUAAGAUACGAAAGCGUGGGGAGCAAACA
rnacentral:rRNA from 1 species